rnacentral:lncRNA from 1 species
UCGAUUCAAGCCUAAAUCACCACAAUUUCUGUUCUUACAUCUUUCUCCUCGAUCUAGGGUUCAGACCAUAGACCAUUAAAGGGGGCCGACUAAACUAGGGUUUCGACUACUGAUCUAUUUCUGCACGUAUGUUCUUCAGACAAUCAAGAUUCAUGUUAUUUGGGUUUUAAGGUUGUUGAGGACUAAUGAGGCGAUUCCAUGUGAUGGUAUGGUAGAGAAGUAAUACAUCUGCUACAGGGUAUGGAAAGGCUACUCUGUUAAGAAAGGUCUUAAUUAUGCCCCAAAAAGAAGGAAGCCUGCCACCGAAAGAAGAGAAAAUCUGCAAAGAUAUUAUAAUGUCUUAUUUUAAUUAAUUAAGUGAUGGAUGCUCUUAUUAUUAAAGGAAAAACAAGAUGCUCGAAUGCUUAUGAUACUUGCAUCUUCUUAUUUCAUUUUGUCCGUAGGCUGUUUUGUUAAUUGUUUCCCCUGUUUACAUAAUCUCAAGGAUGACUGGAGACAUAUG